UUGGAGGGCAAGUCUGGUGCCAGCAGCCGCGGUAAUUCCAGCUCCAAUAGCGUAUAUUAAAGUUGUUGCAGUUAAAAAGCUCGUAGUUGAAUCUUGGGUCUGGCCGGGCGGUCCGCCUUCUGGGUGAGUACUGUUCCGAUGUCGGGCCUAUCCUUCUGGUGAAUCGGCAUGCCCUUUACUGGAUGUGUCGGGGAACCAGGACCAUUACCUUGAAAAAAUUAGAGUGUUCAAAGCAGGCGCAUGCUCGAAUACAUUAGCAUGGAAUAAUGGAAUAGGACGCGUGGUGCUAUUUUGUUGGUUUCUAGAACCGCCGUAAUGAUUAAUAGGGAUAGUUGGGGGCAUUAGUAUUCAAUUGUCAGAGGUGAAAUUCUUGGAUUUAUUGAAGACUAACUUCUGCGAAAGCAUUUGCCAAGGAUGUUUUCAUUAAUCAAGAACGAAAGUUAGGGGAUCGAAGACGAUCAGAUACCGUCGUAGUCUUAACCAUAAACUAUGCCGACUAGGAAUCGGGCGAUGUUAUUUUCACGACUCGCCCGGCGCCUUAUGGGAAACCAAAGUGUUUGGGUUC
rnacentral:rRNA from 1 species